UAAAUUAGCAAUUGUCAAACAAUUUAUUGGCUAGUGAUCACAAGGGCAUUGCCACUGUGAUCAAUGGAUGUUCAAGUGCUAUUGUCAUUUAUGUUCCUCACCAUUUUUUUCUCAACAGGAAAUGCUGCUGGAAAACCUGAUCCAUAUGCUGGUAAAGUUGAAAUCAUGUUGCUAAAUGGUGGUCAUCAAACCAUUUGGCCAGGUGUUCAUACCAAAACAGGGCACCAAAUAGUUCCCACAGGCUUCAAAUUGGAGCCAAGAGAUAUAUAUCAUAUCAAAGUCCCUGAUUCAUGGUCAGGCACAAUAUGGGCAAGAACUGGAUGCAGUGGAAACCCAAACACUACCUUUCAUUGUGAUGUUGGAGAUUGUGGCACUCACAAUAUACAUUGCCAUCAAAGCCUACCAAAACCCCCUGCAACUCUAUUGAAGUUCAACUUGGCUCCAAAAGGUGGCACAAGUUCUUACAAAAUAGACCUAAGAUAUGGCUUUAAUAUCCCAGCCACAUUAUCCACAUUCACUAGCAAGUGCAAGGAAAUAAAUUGUGUCAGGGAUAUAAGGAGUGAUUGCCCUGAUUGGUUAGCUGUGUAUAGUCAUGAAGGUAGAAAGAUUGGUUGCAAAAGUGCAUGUUACACCACUGGUGAAUCAAAGCAUUGUUGCACUGGUGCCUUUGCUUCUCCUCAAAAGUGUGAGCUGAAUGAAUACACACAACUUGUUGAGAACAAUUGCCCCGAUUCUGUUUCUAAUGCCUUUGAUGACACUCACUUCACAUGCCAUGGUGGGGCUAGUUUUCAGAUAACAUUUUGGGCAUGGUGAAAGAUUGCAAUCAAUCACUAGUGUAUCACUAUAGUACGUAUAUAUGUUUACAAUCUGUUAGGAUGCAAACCAAAGAUAUUUGGUGGUUACUACCAUACCACAACACUUAGUUGAGGUAUGAUUCAUGAGAUGAUGUGUCCCAAUCAAAUAAAUUCAGGGUUUAAUUAAAAAAAUAUAUAUGUUAUGUUACAUAUGGAACUUUGUUCUUUUAUUUCUGUAACAGAUUUGAAGCAAAAACUUUGUUCUUCAUGUUCUUCUUUCAUCCAAUAUCUCCCUUUCAUAGCCUCUUUUCUCCUUAGUUCUGAUUUGGGUGAAAAAGUGGGUUUCAUUGAAGAAGUGGGCUUCACUAUAGAUUUGAUGUUAGGGUUGCGGUGGGAGAGAGAAACCCAAUCCUCCCCAACCUCAACACCACCAUCCAACGAGAAACCCUGAAAUUUAUCACCAAGCUUCAACCUUUUCUCUGAUAUAUGUUGUGUCCCUCCCAGAUCUGCCCCCAAUUCGUGAAAUCCUCAUCAGGGUCCACAAAGUAUGAAUCUUUCUGGUUCAGAACCGGUCCAGGAAGACCCAUGUACCCAUGAGAGAGGCUUGGGAAAUCGGUGUUUGCGGCUAUACAAAAGCAAUACUAUCGUUGGAAGGGCAACAAGAUGACAAGAUGAUUGAGAAGGUGAAGCGGCAUGAGAAAGAAGAAGUGGAGUUUGUGAAAGGAUCAAGAAAUCGAACUGGGUGUGCAUAGAAAGCUCUGGAUCCGAUUUGGUGAUUCAUUCCUCUUUUUCUCUUUUCCAGAUCUGUGUUGUGGCUGGGUUUUGGUGUUCAUGUUUUCUGUCUUUCUUAUGGAAGGUUAAAUGGGGUUUUGACUUUGGUGAGGGAGAUGUUGAUGAAGAAGAUGAUGAUGAAGGAUAAGAAGAAGUUUAAUCUCUUUUCUUGAAUGUGAAAACCCUAAAACACACAAAAAAGAAAUUUCAUGAAAUUAGGUUACCACUUAACGAAAUUACAAAAAUGUUAGGACCAUGACAUAAUUAAUACAAAUCUUUGUUUUUGUUUUUCGUUAUUUUUUAAAAAGAAAAAUAAAAAAAGUCAAAGUUUAUGGUCAAAGCAACUCCUAUUGGUCCACAUCACUCAGAUAUGAUACAAUUGUGGUAUGAUAACAUUUAUCAAGAUGGAUAUUUAUUAGAUUGCAAAUGGACUAUUAAGUAGUGCAUUAUAUGUAUCAUGGGUUGAGGGGUGGACAUAUAUAUAUUAUGCCCACUCUUCAUUGAUGUAAAUAUUUCUUGUUGCAUUUGUUAAAUUAUUUUAUUAUUUAGGUAAUCUCAAUUUAUUGGACUUUGUCUCUUGUUUUUAUUUGCUGUUUUCAACUUUGAAAAAGGGUUAAUAUAGUAGUAUUUAGCAAGUUUCAUGUAUUAGUACGUGGAAAAAAAAUCCAUUCGGAGAGCUAGCACACUAAGAUGUGAAUGUUUUUUGCUAACACGGUUGCCUUCUUUCAGAAACACUUGUAAUGGUACCAAAAGAGUAAACUAUCCUAGCUAGGCUAUGUUGGAUGGCCACUGGGAUUCUAGUUCUAUUCAUAGUAAAAAUUUAAGGGCUAUCCUAUCAGGCAUUUUUCAAUAACCAUGAAGAGCAUUAUUGAUAGUCCCUCUCUUAAUUUUUGAAUAAUUCCAAUGAAAGCUUCAACUACGUACCUGUAGUUUGAUAUUAAGGCCUCAAAUGCAUGAGUUCAAAAAAGGCCUCAAAAUGCAUAUUCGCCAUUAGCUUGGUAAUAAUAAUGUUCUUGAGAGUGUGAUUUCAUAAUAAGAUUCAAAUCAAAUAGAUAAAUCAGAACUUAAAUUUUUAUGACAACUCACUUCUAGAGACUUCUUCAACCUGAUUAUUCUCUCAUUCCCCCAAAAAACAGUAUAUUUUACUUGACUGAUCUACUUUCUUUUAGAAAAAAAAUAAAAACACUACCCCUUUCAAUUACGAAUGAAAGACGCAAGAAUGUCAAAUUUGGAGUUCCUUUUUCUCAGCUUGGAAUGUCAAAUUCAUCAUUCUAAUAUAUUAGUGUGGAGUCCGUAUAGAGAGUUUCAUUUUCUUCAACUUUAUCUGACUCGAAAUUAUAAACAUUCACUUAUCAUCAAUCACAAAACACCAUCAUAUAUAUAUAUGUAUCAUGCAUUGAGAAGUGACCAUGUAUCCCACCCCACUCUUCAUUUGAAGUUGAAGCAAAUCUUUCUAGUUAAAUUAAUGUUACAUUAUUUCACUAUUUAUUUAAUCUUUAUUUGGUUUGAUUUCAUUGUACUGACAACCAAUCACAACAUACCAUGUAGGUGGAAUAAUAACUUUCACCUUAAAUUUUAAUUAAAACAAAAUUAUAUUUGCUGAUGUGCCAGAAUUCAAUUGGGUGACUGUGUAAACAAAAUUUACACUGACAAUGCACACACAUUAAAUUCUUAAUUUUAAUCCCUGAAGUCGCUUGUGUGAAUUAUAUUGGAUCUCAUUUUUCUAAAACAAACGCAAAACAAAAAUUAAUUUCAACCACAAUUUGAAAUUAUAUAAUUAAUAGAGAUCAAAAUUAAAGAGCAAUUGAGAUCUUAUCCAUCAAUUAGACAGAGAGGCAGUGCUGGAAACAUGGAAAUCAUCUCGUUUUCACCAUUUACUAGCGUUUUUACCCCGUGUGUUGCACGACAAAUAUUGAUCUCAUUAUUUAGACAUGUAUUAAUGAAUUAAGAUACAAAAAAAAAAGAUGAGCAUUCAACCAAACAAAAUAAAUCACAAUGAGUAUCACACCAAUUGCAAAGUUUGACAAAAAUUUCAUAUAUAUUUAAUCCUAAAAUUAUUUAAAAUUAUGAAAAAUAUAUUUAAAUUAGAUGAAAAAUUUGUUCUAGAGAUUUAGUAAAAGUGGCAAGAGCUAGGAGACAUAAGUGUUGGAGGGGAAUGAAAAAUAGUUGUGGAAAUUUAUGUGGUAUAUACUUCUAUUUGUGAUCGAUUUGACAAUUCCUCAAAUAGAAUAUGUUAUUUUCAUUCAAAUUUGAAAUUGAUUUUUGGAGAAUUAAGACAUGUCUAAUGAAAAUAAAUUAAAUCAAUUCAUUUGAAUAAUUUCGGAUUUGUAAUUUGUAACCGCCCUAUCUGAAGUCAAAUUUGAGAAGACUUUUUGCUGAUUUUCAAUCCUUCCAUUUCAUGGUACUUAGUUUAAAUUUAAAUGACUAAAAAGUCAAGCAUUAAAAACAACAAUAUGAGGAAUUAAAACGGUUUUAUUAUACACCAGAAAAAUCAAAGGAUCUUAAUUAACUAAACAGUUUUAAUUUUUAUCAUUUAAUCUUAUUUCCUUAUUUAAUUUAAUUUCCUUAUUUAAGUUCCCAACACUCAGUAUUUUAAAAAAAAAAUUAACCAAUUAAUGUUAAAUGAUCAUCAAAAUUUUCAUUGAAAUCUACAAUUAAGUUUCACUUAAUUUCAUACAUAAUAAUUGUAAUAUCCCAUUAAUAUUGGCAACACAUAAAAACUAUACUAAUUGGGCAUUAAUUUCAGAUAUUGAUUUAUACUAAUGCAGUUUAAUUAUAUCAAAAAAAUAAAUGCAAAUUUUAUAGCAUUAGAUAUAAAAUAUUAUAUAAUAUUUAAAAUCAAUUUUAUUUUGAAACCAAAUCUAUUUCUAUCACAUAAAGUUAUUUCUAAAUAUAUUUUUAAAACGGUUUUGUUUCGUAUCCAAGUAUGCAUUGUAAGAUAUUGGCCAACGUUUCAGCAACUUGUGAUGUUCUACCCUGAAUUCGUUUUUUUUUUUAGUUUUGAAUUAAAAUGAACAAAUUCACGUUGACUUGAUUUAAGGAAGCAAUAGUAAUUAGUAUUAAAUGUUGUAUUAUGAUUUUUUUAAAUAUGUAAACGAAUUAAAUGUUUAAAAUUGUCACACAAAGUAAUUUCCUUAAAAGGAAUUUGAACGAAAAAAAUAAUUAAUUGCAAAACCUUGAAUAUAAUAAACCUAGAAUACUAUAUUAAAAUAAACCUUGAACCGUGAUAUAAUAAACCAUGUAUAUUAUAUUGAGGUUGUGUAUAUUAACUUAAAAUACUACGUUAUUAACAUUUCCGGAUCCUUGUAUAUAUUAAUUUAAACAAACAAAAUUUAAAACAUUAUGUUAUUAACUUUAUUUAUAACUUUUUCAUUUAANNNNNNNNNNNNNNNNNNNNNNNNNGUGGUGCAGUUGUCCAGCAGGGGAGGGGGUAUGAUGAAAUUGAUUCUUGGAAUGUCAUGUGUAAAAUUGUUUUGGAUAACGAUUUUCUUUUUAAUAGUAUAUAGAUAUAGAUAUUAUAUCAUAUAUAUUUAUUUAUUUAUUUUACAUAUGAAAGAUAAAUGGCACCCUUCGGUGAUUGAUCUCUAGACCUCUCAUACCUAACUCAUACAUAUAUAGGAAGUAUCAAUGUAUCAAUGUAUCAUAUUGGAAGCAAUUGUACAAAAAAAUAAUAUUGAAUGAUUAUUUCAUUUAGUUUCAAAGAAAAAUGAUUAUUUAAUUUGAUUAAUUUCCUAAUAAAAGUAAAAUUAUUUAAUAAUUUACAAUUAUAAUGAUUAUUUAAAUUCUUUAAUUUCCUAAUAAAUAAAAAAUUAUUUAUUAAUUAAUAUAUUAUAACUUAUAAAAGUUAUAUAUAUUGAAAUAAUUUUAAUUUGGAAUGAGAAUAAAAAUAAAUAAAUUUUAUAACUGUAUAUUGUCAGGGUGAAAAUGAAAAUAAAUAAAUUAUCUUAUAUUGUCAGGAUAAGUUCUUAAACAACUCUCCACCCAUGAUAAGUCUUACACAUGAUAAAUAUGAUAUGAUAAGAGUUAGGAUUGUGUUAUCAUAUCAUGUUGCCACAACAAACAAAAAAUUACUCAAAGUAAUGAUUACAUUAACCUACCUUGUUGCUCAAUGAUGUGCCCUAAAUGGUUUCUAAUUUAUCCUAAUUGGCUAGUAUAAAAAGCAUUCAAAGAUAUUAUUAAAAGACAAGUGCAUGCAUUGUCACUGUGAUCAAUGGAGGUUCAAGUGCUAUUGUCUUUUACGCUCCUCACCCUUUUGUUCUCAAAAGGAAAUGGUGCUGGAAAGCCUUAUCCACAUGCAGGUAAUGUUUGAAAUUUUUAAUUUUGUGCAAUUUUUUUAUAUCGUAUAGGGCUUUUUUUACUUCAACUUAACAUUCACUUGUCAUCAAUCACAACCAUCAUAUGUAUCAUGGCUUGAGGAGUGACCAUGCAUGUGUCCCCACGUACUCUUCAUUUGAAAGUUGAAGCAAAUCAUCUUUUUUGUUUAUUAGUUUUCAUUGAAUAUGUUUGUAGCAUGAAUUUUUGAUCAAAUUUCUAUGCGCAUUUCUUUAGAUUUACAAGAAUAAUUCAAAAAUCAAAUAUUGAAAAAGAAAAAAAAACUGCACAACAACUAAAGCUUACUAACAUCCAUGAAAUAAAUAAAUUAAUUUCAAUCCCAAUUUAAAAUUACACAAUUAAUGGAUGAUUAAUAGAGAAAUGGAGAUCUUAUCCAUCAAUUUGACUGAAGCAAUGCUGAAAAAAUGGAAAACAUUUUGUUUUCACCAUGUGUAUAUAUCUAUCUUUCUUUUUUUCUAAAUUAGCAAUUGUCAAGCAAUUUAUUGGCUAGUAUAAAAAAACAUUCAAAAAUAUAUAGUAUUGAAAGGCAAGUGCAUUGUCACUCUGAUCAAUGGAUCGGAGGUUCAUCAAGUGCUAUUAUCUUUAAUGUUCCUUACCAUUUUGUUCUCAACAGGAAAUGCUACUGGAAAACCUGACCAAUAUGCUGGUAAUGUUGAAAUCAUGUUGCUAAAUGGUGGUCAUCAAACCAUUUGGCCAGGUGUUUAUACCAAAACAGGGCACCAAAUACUUCCCACAGGGUUCAAAUUGGAGCCUAGAGAUAUAUAUUAUAUCAAAGCCCCUGAUUCAUGGUCAGGCACAAUAUGGGCAAGAACUGGAUGCAGUGGAGACCCAAACACUGCCUUUCGUUGUGAUGUUGGAGAUUGUGGCACUGGAAGUAUACAUUGCCAUCAAAACCUACCAAAACCCCCUGCAACUCUAUUGAAGUUCGACUUGGCUCCAAAAGGUGGCACAAGUUCUUACAAAAUAGACCUAAGAUAUGGCUUUUAUUUGCCAGUCUCAUUAUCCACAUCCACUGGCGAGUGCAAGCAAAUAAAUUGUGUCAGGGAUAUGAGGAAUGAUUGCCCUGAUUGGUUAGCUGUGUACAGUCAUGAAGAGAGAAAGGUUGGUUGCAAGAGUGCAUGUUAUACCACUGGUCAAAAAAAGGAUUGUUGCACUGGAGCCUUUGCUUCUCCUCAAAAGUGUGAGCUGAAUGAAUACACACAACUUGUUGAGAACAAUUGCCCCGAUUCUGUUUCUAAUGCCUUUGAUGAUACUCACUUCACAUG
rnacentral:lncRNA from 1 species